rnacentral:rRNA from 1 species
UACGUAGGGGGCAAGCGUUGUCCGGAUUUAUUGGGCGUAAAGAGCGUGUAGGCGGCCCGGUAAGUCCGCUGUGAAAGUCGGGGGCUCAACCCUCGAAUGCCGGUGGAUACUGUCGGGCUAGAGUGCGGAAGAGGCGAGUGGAAUUGCUGGUGUAGCGGUGAAAUGCGUAGAGAUCAGCAGGAACACCCGUGGCGAAGGCGGCCCCCUGGGCCGUACCUGACGCUGAGGCGCGAAGGCUAGGGGAGCGAACGGG